rnacentral:rRNA from 1 species
GACGAACGCUGGCGGCGUGCUUAACACAUGCAAGUCGAACGGAAAGGCCCUGCUUUUGUGGGGUGCUCGAGUGGCGAACGGGUGAGUAACACGUGAGUAACCUGCCCUUGACUUUGGGAUAACUUCAGGAAACUGGGGCAAAUACCGGAUAGGAGCUCCUGCUGCAUGGGGGGGGUGGGAAAGUUUCGGCGGUUGGGGAUGGACUCGGGGCUUAUCAGCUUGUUGGUGGGGUAGUGGCUUACCAAGGCUUUGACGGGUAGCCGGCCUUAGAGGGUGACCGGCCACAUUGGGACUGAGAUACGGCCCCGACUCCUACGGGAGGCAGCCGUGGGGAAUAUUGCCCCAUGGGCGGAAGCCUGAUGCAGCAACGCCGCGUGCGGGAUGACGGCCUUCGGGUUGUAAACCGCUUUCGCCUGUGACGAAGCGUGAGUGACGGUAAUGGGUAAAGAAGCACCGGCUAACUACGUG